GGCUGUGACCUAGAGAGAAGAUAGAGAGAGAGAGAGAGUGGCGUGCUAGAGAGAAGGGGCUGCCAUUUCUAGAGAUAAGGAGGAGAAGAAAGAAAGGAAGAAGAAGAAGAAGAAGAAGAAGGGUUCAAGCUAGGGGUUUGAGCAAGGAGGUGCUUCUAGAUUGGAUUCUUGAUUUCUAUCAAGAGAGGCUCGUGGAGAGGUUGUGAAUUUACUAAGCUCAGACCUGAGGUAGCAAAUUGGUUUCUCCAUGGCACGCGUGGUGAUGUGGGAAGUUCUAUCGUCCUGGUGUGUAUGGCGUGGGGCAUCCUAUGGACGAAAAACGAUCACUUAAAGACGCCAUUUUAAUAAUGUUAUGUUUUUUGAGACUUUUUAAACUUAUCAAUGGGACUUAAAUUAUUGGUUUUUUUUUUUGGAACUUUGCAUAAAAACCCAUAUUUUCUUUUAAAACUAUUGGGCCCAACUUACAUGUUUUAAGCAAGAACACACUGAAACCUUUAUAAUAAGUGGCUUUCCUUUAAAAACCAACGAAAUGUUAAUGUUUCAUUAAGUACUAGUUUUGGGCGUUCUUUACACACAAUCCCAAAUUUCCCAAAUUUUUCUUACAUUGAGAGAAAUUCAUCAACUGAUUUUUUUUCUUUUAAUUUUUUCUAAUGAUACUACACUCCCCCAAACUUAUUUCUUUGUGUUUUCAAUUGGAGUGUAGUUCCUUUUCAAUAUACUUUUUUUUCUUUCUCUCUCAAUUUUUCUUCUUCUAUUGACACAAAUUUCCAAAUAUAAACCGCAUUACAAACCAUCCCCCAAUCACUUUUCAUAUGCUCAUGGUAUAUAAAAGGGAAGGAAAAAUAACAAUGUUUCAAAUAAGCUCAAAAGAAAUGUCAAACAAAAAGAAUCAAAUUAGGCUCAAAAUUGAGUAACUAAGGAUUUAAUACAUAAAGGUUGGCUUGAAAUGCUCAAUCGGUUCAAAGAAUUGCCUAAAUCAUCAUCCUAAGCAUGCAUAAUAUAGGAUUUCAUCUCAAAUAGCAAGCAAACAAGUUCUAGAAUAACAAAAAUUUCAUAAUUUAUUUUCAUUUUCAAAAUUCAGUAGGCAUAAAAAUUUCUCAAUUACACAAAAUUUAUUAAAAAUCAUGAUUGAGCUCUCAACUAUUUAAGUGGACUCAAGUAAAAAUGGAAAGAAAUAUUCAACCAAGCACAUAUUUUUAUAGCUUCAUUCCCAUUCAAUUUAUACAACACAUCAUUCCAUCAUAUUAUCAUUGGCUAAUCAUUGCCAACUUGAUUCAACUAACACUCUAAACAACCUAGACAAAACACACUAACACUAAAAAAAACAACUUAACACAAACAAUAAAUACCUUCCCCCAAACUUAACCUAAACAUUGUCUCCAAUGUUAAAAUAAAAGCUAAGGAAAAAAAAACUUACGUGACACCUCAUACUACUUAAAAUGAUAGGAUCAAGAUGGUGAAUCAAAAAUGGGAAAAGAAAACUUCUCGGGUUAGCCCAUAAUUCAUUAUGUCGGAGCCCGAAGUAGCGCUGCAACUCAAAUUAGUCUCAUAUUUAAUAGAAAUUAAAACUAAAUAAAAAUAAAUAAACAAAAUACUAAAAUUAAAAUGUUCAUAAUCCAAAACUUAAAUAAAACUAAUAAAAAAAUAAAAUGCAAAUAAAAGAUUGGAAUGCCUCCAAACGUGCUGUCGCUAACGUCAUUUAGCCGGACGCUUGUUUUCUUUCAUAUUCAACUUGGAUCAAGUCCUCCCCUCACAUCCUUGAGAGCAAUAGUAUCAUGAAUUGGCUCUCAUUUCUGGUGAUUAGAAAUUGAUGGAACUUUACCCCGCUCAUGUAACAUCUGAAUCCUUUCACUGAAAAACCUUUUAAAAGGACGACUCCUUUUCGCAUUCCAGUUUUAACCACACAUCUUUGCUUAGAGACUUCCAACUUGUUCUCUCCUUGUUUUACCACUUUAACUCUACAACAAGUUGGAAUUUCUGUUGCUGCAAAAAAAUUAAAUAUUACCUCCUCUUUUUGCACU